rnacentral:lncRNA from 1 species
UAAGUCAUUAUAUGAUAAGUUAAAUGUUGAUUUCCUCAAACUGAAUCUGUAGGUCCCUGUGUUGGUGAUGAACAUCUGUUGCUGGGUAAGCCAGACUGCCAAGAUCCCCUUCUUCUCGCCUAGCUCACUCCCAAUGUCAUGAACAUUGCCAAGGAUGCACACGAAGGAGGGGCAGAUGGAGUCACUGCCACCAACACAGUGUCUGGAAUGAUGGGCCUGACAGCACUCCCUGGCCUGGCAUCGGCAAGGGCAAGCGCACCACCUAUGGAGGAAUGUCUGGUAGGUAACACAAACACACAUGAACACUUUGUCAUGUGCUGUUACCUUACAGAUACAGACAGCUAACAUGUGUGCGUGUGUGUGUGUGUGUGUGUGAGAGAUCACACAUUUUUGCUUUUAGCCAGGAUUUGAUGUCCAACUGACGUAAAACAUAGGCAGCCCCGCU